UGGUUGCCAUGUCUAACUAGACAUUUU
rnacentral:piRNA from 1 species